UUUUGACCGUGCAAAGGUAGCGCAAUCACUUGUCUCUUAAAUAGAGACCUGUAUGAAUGGCUAGACGAGGGCUUAACUGUCUCCCCCUUCCAGUCAGUGAAAUUGAUCUAUCCGUGCAGAAGCGGGUAUAAUUAUACAAGACGAGAAGACCCUUUGGAGCUUAAGGUACAAAAUUCAACCACGUUAAACGACUCUACAUGAAGCAAGAACUUAGUGGCGAAUGAAAUUUUACCUUCGGUUGGGGCGACCACGGAGGAGAAAGAAGCCUCCGAGUGGACUGGGCUAAUCCCCAAAGCCAAGAGAUACAUCUAUAAGCCGCAGAACAUCUGACCAAGUAAUGAUCCGACUGAUAAAGCCGAUCAACGAACCAAGUUACCCUAGGGAUAACAGCGCAAUCCUCUCCCAGAGUCCAUAUCGACGAGGGGABURNDSBUNCUAUUSUUUUGACCGUGCAAAGGUAGCGCAAUCACUUGUCUCUUAAAUAGAGACCUGUAUGAAUGGCUAGACGAGGGCUUAACUGUCUCCCCCCUCCAGUCAGUGAAAUUGAUCUAUCCGUGCAGAAGCGGGUAUAAUUAUACAAGACGAGAAGACCCUUUGGAGCUUAGGGUACAAGAUUCAACCACGUUAAACGACUCUAUAAGAAGCAAGAACUUAGUGGCGAAUGAAACUUUACCUUCGGUUGGGGCGACCACGGAGGAAAAAGAACCCUCCGAGUGGAUUGGGCCAAACCCCAAAGCCAAGAGAGACAUCUACAAGCCGCAGAACAUCUGACCAAAAAUGAUCCGGCUGAAAGGCCGAUCAACGAACCNUUUUACCCUAGGGAUAACAGCGCAAUCCUCUCCCAAAGUCCAUUUCGACAAGGGG
rnacentral:rRNA from 1 species